GAUGAACGCUGGCGGCGUGCUUAACACAUGCAAGUCGAACGCCCCGCAAGGGGAGUGGCAGACGGGUGAGUAACGCGUGGGAAUCUACCUAGUUCUACGGAACAACAGUUGGAAACGACUGCUAAUACCGUAUACGCCCUACGGGGGAAAGAUUUAUCGGAAUUAGAUGAGCCCGCGUAAGAUUAGCUAGUUGGUGAGGUAAUGGCUCACCAAGGCGACGAUCUUUAGCUGGUCUGAGAGGAUGAUCAGCCACACUGGGACUGAGACACGGCCCAGACUCCUACGGGAGGCAGCAGUGGGGAAUAUUGGACAAUGGGCGCAAGCCUGAUCCAGCCAUGCCGCGUGAGUGAUGAAGGCCUUAGGGUUGUAAAGCUCUUUCAGUAGGGAAGAUAAUGACGGUACCUACAGAAGAAGCCCCGGCUAACUUCGUGCCAGCCGCCGCGGUAAGAC
rnacentral:rRNA from 1 species